rnacentral:rRNA from 1 species
ACGGAGGUAGAGCACUGAAUGUCCUAGGGGGUAUUGCACCUACCGAAGACUAUCAAACUCCGAAUGCCGUCAUCUUAUACUUGGGAGUCAGACUGUGGGGGAUAAGAUUCAUAGUCGAAAGGGCAACAGCCCAGAUCGUCAGCUAAGGUCCCUAAAUGUAAGUUAAGUGGUAAAGGAUGUGGGAUUGCACAGACAACCAGGA